GAAAUGCGAUAAGUAGUGUGAAUUGCAGAAUUCAGUGAAUCAUCGAAUCUUUGAACGCACAUUGCGCCCUUUGGUAUUCCAAAGGGCAUGCCUGUUCGAGCGUCAUUUGUACCCUCAAGCUUUGCUUGGUGGUGGGCGUCUUGUCUCCAGUUCCCUGGAGACUCGCCUUAAAGUAAUUGGCAGCCGGCCUACUGGUUUCGGAGCGCAGCACAAGUCGCGCUCUCUUCCAGCCAAGGUCAGCAUCCACAAAGCCUUUUUUCAACUUUUGACCUCGGAUCAGGUAGGGAUACCCGCUGAACUUAAGC
rnacentral:misc_RNA from 1 species